ensembl:lncRNA
CGUUUCAGAAUCUAUGAACCUCGAGUGGACAAAUCCCCGCUAUUAACACGGGACAUGGACGAGUGGCAAAAAAACUGAAUGGGAACCGCGCGGCAGCUUUGGGAGAAACUAACGAUGUGCUCCAGCUCUUGCCACUGCGGGAAGGAGCGGGGGGGAACCCCUCUGAUUAAUAACUAGCAGGACAGUCCAAACCUUCUGAGAACCGGAACAAAAUCUCAUGUAUAGCUCCCGCGUGUUCUCCCACUCAUUCUGCGGGGCUCACAAACUUCCCCGGGACUUCCUAUCCCGCAUGGAGAACACAAACGGCCCUUAUCAGUGGCUCUAGGAAGAGCGCGACAUGGUGCCGGCAAUUUAUGGGGAAAGCCUGGGAUGUUCUAUUUGUUGAAAACACGACAGAAGGGGUGAAAGCAGCUGAUCCGAUCCGCUGCGAGAUUUCAUCAUCCCGUGGCAGCUCGGGGGAGCCAGGCCCGAUGUCCCCGGGCCGGGCCAGGAGGACUUCACCUAUCGGUUGGAGGGGAUGGGUCGAAAGCCGGAAAAAAAAAAAAAAAAAAAAAAAAAAAAAGAAAGAAAAGAAAGAAAAAAAUAAGAAACAUAAAAUCGGCCGCGAUUAAAGAGGCAGCAGAGCCUCUUUGUGCUGUGAGGUGCUACAGGUAAACGUUUCUAUCUGGCAGGAUUGUUUUGCCCGUUAAAAGACAGAAAUAAAAUCAAAGCACCACCAUCAAACCUGGCUCAGGUCUGUGCCGGGUUCGGUCAAGGCAACGCCUAUGGAAGCUGGGGCUCGCUGCAUCGAGGCAGGAGGUGCUCGAAUAUAUUUUCUUUUAAAAGGUGUAGGGAAUGGGGGAGGGCGGCAGAGAAUAUUUCUCAGAACACCGGGAGAUACCUUUCUUGAAACAAAGGCAAAGGGGAAUCAUCUCAAUUGCAAAUCCAUCAGGCAGAGAGCAAAUACCAAUAUUUAUAGGAAGGCGUUCGAAAAUACCGUGCGCUUAAAUAACAGCAGCGAAAGCUAUCUGCAGUCGCAACAGAGCAGCUUAAUAAAAAAUUAGCCUCACUGACAGUCUUGUCAACAUCUUAAGUAAAUUAUCAUAGCGAUGGUCUUUGGAGAAGAGAACCCACACUCCUCGCUAAAACACCUCCUAUCAUUAAUCUUAAACCACUUGAAGAUUAUGAUGGAAAGAAUGGGAUCAGUAACCAUUAUCAUCUCCAAUUGCUGUUAAAAACUCCGCUGUUUAUUUUUGCAACCAAAGCAAAUGUAAGUAGGAAAUGCAGAAAAGGGAAGAAAGGCAAACACUGAGAGGCAGAACAAUUGAGGCGAAUCCUGUUCCAACCUCGAUGAUAAACACAUGGAAAAGGCUGUGACUGCUCUGCGGAUUGCUGGAAUUUGGGGAGACAUUAGGAAAAUAAACACACCGAUGGCUCCGCAUCGGCGGUACAUGCAGUGAAAGGAUUUGGCGGCAGUGAAGGCAGAAUCUGCUGCUUUAGGGGCACUGGACCUGAAAAGCUAUCGACGGAGCUUUACACCUCCAAUGACUCCACGAAUCGAUGUGAGCCGGGCACACGCCUGAAUCCAAUCAGACCCGGGUUUUUGAAGGGGAUCACUGCCGCACGGUGCGUACGGGAGUGCGGGUGCGUCCGUGUGCACGCACACGAGAGCGGACCGAGCGAACCGGGUGGCCCUCAGACUGCGGGGAACGGGGAGAGGUCAAUUGCUCCUCUUCAAUUAGGAGAGGUUCCCCAUUGUCCUGGCACCCCGUACUUGUUAAUAACUGCGCAGGGUCAGGAGAAGAGGAAUAAACGUCUGCUGCGAGUAAUCUGCUGUAAUGCAAUUAUUUCACUGGGUUAACGUGCAGUGGCAGUGCAACACGGCCACGAGUAUGAGAUACAAAGGGAAAAACAGAAAAUAAAGCCUGCGGGAGGAAUAUUAG